AACAGCAGCUAGCUUCGUACCUCAAAGCAACACCAGAAAGAAGAAGCAUUUCCAUCGAGGGAAGGAGUGAGUGUAAGGAGUAUUUCCCCCAAAAGGAAGAGAAGAACAAAGAAGCAUAAAGAUUGAUUACUGGUUACCUCUUCAAGAAUAUGGCUGUCUUGGGGAACCAGACAGAGAUCAUCUUCUAAACCUGACUGUACGUUUUGAUCAUCUGAGAAG
rnacentral:lncRNA from 1 species